GAUGAAGAACGUAGCGAAAUGCGAUAAGUAGUGUGAAUUGCAGAAUUCAGUGAAUCAUCGAAUCUUUGAACGCACAUUGCGCCUCCUGGUAUUCCGGGAGGCAUGCCUGUUCGAGCGUCAUCAAAAACCUCAACCCAUGAUUUAUUGUGAGUUGGUUCUGCAUUGGACUCCUUGUGGGUCCUUUGCGAAAUCCAAUGGCGAAGAGCCACGCAACCAAAGCGUAGUAUAACUAUUUCGUUAUGGAAGCGUGGGUGCCUCUGCCGUAACCCCCAAUUUCUUAGUUUUUGACCUCGGAUCAGGUAGGGAUACCCGCUGAACUUAAGAAUAUCAAUAAGCGGAGGA
rnacentral:misc_RNA from 1 species